GACGAACGCUGGCGGCGUGCUUAACACAUGCAAGUCGAACGGAAAGGCCCUGCUUUUGUGGGGUGCUCGAGUGGCGAACGGGUGAGUAACACGUGAGUAACCUGCCCUUGACUUUGGGAUAACUUCAGGAAACUGGGGCUAAUACCGGAUAGGAGCUCCUGCUGCAUGGUGGGGGUUGGAAAGUUUCGGCGGUUGGGGAUGGACUCGCGGCUUAUCAGCUUGUUGGUGGGGUAGUGGCUUACCAAGGCUUUGACGGGUAGCCGGCCUGAGAGGGUGACCGGCCACAUGGGGCCGGAGAUACGGCCCAGACUCCUACGGGGGGCAGCAGGGGGGAAUAUUGCACAAGGGGCGAAGGCCGGAUGCAGCAACGCCGCGUGCGGGAUGACGGCCUUCGGGUUGUAAACCGCUUUCGCCUGUGACGAAGCGUGAGUGACGGUAAUGGGUAAAGAAGCACCGGCUAACUACGU
rnacentral:rRNA from 1 species